CUUGGCCGGUAAUGGCAGUGUCCGGCUGAAGGAGCCUCUCGGGACUCUUUGCUUUGGCUUCUCCAGCCCAGAAGGCCUGCGGGAUGAGCCGGCGACCUCCGUUGCUGCCUCUAGGAAGGAGGAGGAAAGAAGGAAGGCGGCGAUAGGACAGGUUGUUCCUGCCAUGAGGAAGUUCCUAAUGAAACAAUUAUAACACAACCAGGUGAUUUAUACUCAUAUUUUGCCAAUUCCUCCAAAUGGCUUCAGUGCUAAACAUAUGACAGAAAGAAACACAAGGUCCUUAUUCUUUGCAUUCACCCAAGACAGUGGAGACGCAAUUUUGAUCCCCAGUGAAUAACGGCUUGUGAUUUCCAUUCUGUGGGGAUUUGUAAAAGGCACCAUGAUGUAAUGGGUUGACUGGAAAGACAUGUGUCAGCAGCUGAUUGGCUAAGCGUGCCAGGAGCCAACGUUCUGAUUAGCUGCUGCCUCUAGCUUGCUGCUGAGAGAAACGGUUUGAGUAGGCAUUUUACCUCAGAGAGUGAAGAGGUAACAGCUAAGGAAUUAAUGACUGCCGACUCCCUGAAGCCUGAUCAUUUAUUAAGGCAAUGGGGCAUAUUUAAAGACUAUUUUUAAAUGACUGUUUAUUACUUCUGUUCUCUAUAAGAAGCCAGAAAGACUAUUGUAUAUAUUGUUGCUCUGUUCGACCUAUUGAACUGAAGUAAAGUUACUGUUACUUAUUUCAUAGA